CCCUUAGAUGUUCUGGGCCGCACGCGCGCUACACUGACGAUGGCAACGAGUUUUUCCUUCGCCGAAAGGUGUGGGUAAUCUUUUGAAACAUCGUCGUGCUGGGGAUAGAUCAUUGCAAUUUUUGAUCUUGAACGAGGAAUUCCUAGUAGACGUAGUUCAUCAGACUGCAUCGAUUACGUCCCUGCCCUUUGUACACACCGCCCGUCGCUCCUACCGAUUGAAUGCUCAGGUGAGCCAUUCGGACUUUCAUCAUGCUGGUUUCCAGUUUUGAUGAAGGAAAGUCUUGCGAACCUUAUCAUUUAGAGGAAGGAGAAGUCGUAACA
rnacentral:rRNA from 1 species